UGGGGAAUCUUGCACAAUGGGGGAAACCCUGAUGCAGCGACGCCGCGUGAGCGAUGAAGGUUUUCGAAUCGUAAAGCUCUGUCCUAUGGGAAGAUAAUGACGGUACCAUGGGAGGAAGCCCCGGCUAACUACGUGCCAGCAGCCGCGGUAAUACGUAGGGGGCGAGCGUUGUCCGGAAUUACUGGGCGUAAAGGGUUCGCAGGCGGCAUGGCAAGUCCGAUGUAAAAGGCGAAGGCUCAACCUUCGUAAGCAUCGGAAACUGUCAAGCUUGAGUGAAUGAGAGGCAAGUGGAAUUCCUAGUGUAGCGGUGGAAUGCGUAGAUAUUAGGAGGAAUACCGGUGGCGAAGGCGACUUGCUGGACUUCAACUGACGCUGAGGAACGAAAGCGUGGGUAGCAAACAGG
rnacentral:rRNA from 1 species